AUUGAACGCUGGCGGCAGGCCUAACACAUGCAAGUCGAACGAGCGGCGGACGGGUGAGUAAUGUCUGGGAAACUGCCUGAUGGAGGGGGAUAACUACUGGAAACGGUAGCUAAUACCGCAUACCAUCAGAUGUGCCCCGAUGGGAUUAGCUAGUAGGUGGGGUAACGGCUCACCUCGGCGACGAUCCCUAGCUGGUCUGAGAGGAUGACCAGCCACACUGGAACUGAGACACGGUCCAGACUCCGACGGGAGGCAGCAGUGGGGAAGAGUGCACCAUGGGCGCAAGCCUGAUGCAGCCAUGCCGCGUGUGUGAAGAAGGCCUUCGGGUUGUAAAGCACUUUCAGCGGGGAGGCGUUACCCGCAGAAGAAGCACCGGCUAACUCCGUGCCAGCAGCCGCGGUAAUUC
rnacentral:rRNA from 1 species